GUGCUUGCUUAGGUAACAUAUAUCCUGAAAUUGGAAUUAUACAGAGAAGCUUAGUUGGCCCUUGUGCAAGGAUGACAUACAGAUUCAUGAUCACUCCAUGUUUUC
ensembl:snRNA U6 U6 spliceosomal RNA